UGCUAUACAUGCAGUCGAGCGACGGACGAGAAGCUUGCUUCUCUGAUGUUAGCGGCGGACGGGUGAGUAACACGUGGAUAACCUACCUAUAAGACUGGGAUAACUUCGGGAAACCGGAGCUAAUACCGGAUAAUAUUUUGAACCGCAUGGUUCAAAAGUGAAAGACGGUCUUGCUGUCACUUAUAGAUGGAUCCGCGCUGCAUUAGCUAGUUGGUAAGGUAACGGCUUACCAAGGCAACGAUGCAUAGCCGACCUGAGAGGGUGAUCGGCCACACUGGAACUGAGACACGGUCCAGACUCCUACGGGAGGCAGCAGUAGGGAAUCUUCCGCAAUGGGCGAAAGCCUGACGGAGCAACGCCGCGUGAGUGAUGAAGGUCUUCGGAUCGUAAAACUCUGUUAUUAGGGAAGAACAUAUGUGUAAGUAACUGUGCACAUCUUGACGGUACCUAAUCAGAAAGCCACGGCUAACUACGUGCCAGCAGCCGCGGUAAUACGUAGGUGGCAAGCGUUAUCCGGAAUUAUUGGGCGUAAAGCGCGCGUAGGCGGUUUUUUAAGUCUGAUGUGAAAGCCCACGGCUCAACCGUGGAGGGUCAUUGGAAACUGGAAAACUUGAGUGCAGAAGAGGAAAGUGGAAUUCCAUGUGUAGCGGUGAAAUGCGCAGAGAUAUGGAGGAACACCAGUGGCGAAGGCGACUUUCUGGUCUGUAACUGACGCUGAUGUGCGAAAGCGUGGGGAUCAAACAGGAUUAGAUACCCUGGUAGUCCACGCCGUAAACGAUGAGUGCUAAGUGUUAGGGGGUUUCCGCCCCUUAGUGCUGCAGCUAACGCAUUAAGCACUCCGCCUGGGGAGUACGACCGCAAGGUUGAAACUCAAAGGAAUUGACGGGGACCCGCACAAGCGGUGGAGCAUGUGGUUUAAUUCGAAGCAACGCGAAGAACCUUACCAAAUCUUGACAUCCUUUGACAACUCUAGAGAUAGAGCUUUCCCCUUCGGGGGACAAAGUGACAGGUGGUGCAUGGUUGUCGUCAGCUCGUGUCGUGAGAUGUUGGGUUAAGUCCCGCAACGAGCGCAACCCUUAAGCUUAGUUGCCAUCAUUAAGUUGGGCACUCUAAGUUGACUGCCGGUGACAAACCGGAGGAAGGUGGGGAUGACGUCAAAUCAUCAUGCCCCUUAUGAUUUGGGCUACACACGUGCUACAAUGGACAAUACAAAGGGCAGCGAAACCGCGAGGUCAAGCAAAUCCCAUAAAGUUGUUCUCAGUUCGGAUUGUAGUCUGCAACUCGACUACAUGAAGCUGGAAUCGCUAGUAAUCGUAGAUCAGCAUGCUACGGUGAAUACGUUCCCGGGUCUUGUACACACCGCCCGUCACACCACGAGAGUUUGUAACACCCGAAGCCGGUGGAGUAACCUUUUAGGAGCUAGCCGU
rnacentral:rRNA from 1 species